GGCAAUGGGGCAUGCUGCUGCUGGUGGUGCUGCUCCAUCUGGACUCCAUGGUCUUGAUAUCACCUCAACGGACCAAGAAAGAAGAGGUAUGGUGAAUGGGAUUGGGCCAUCAUUACACACUCCUCCUCUUCCUUCCACUGUACCUUUAGAGGUCAAAGAGAUCCCACCAGGCCUAGCACAAACUCUUGAGAACAUGGUGGGUCAACUGGAUGUUCUUACACAGACUGUAAACAUACUUGAGCAGAGGUUGACAAUGACUGAGAACAAGUUACGUGAAGUCCUUGAUAACCAACAGAAGAUCACGCUGCAAGUCAGACCAACAGAAUGAACUCUUCUCUCAAAAACAAUGAUUGGCAAAAUAAGAUUUAAGAGAAGGGAAUGUAACAUCAAAGCAAGCCUCUUUAGGCAGAAUUUUUAGAGUUCUCAGGUGCCCUAGAAAAAUGAAGAUCUACAAAAUGAAAUUAUCUUGUUUUGGAGAAAUUAGAGUUGAACAGAAGACAAGACUUUCUAGGUAUGGAGAAGGUGACUGCAUGUGGUGUUGGUCAUGUUAUUGAGCUUGUGCACAAACAGCAUAUUCAUUGUGAUAUGUGUUAAGAUGGUGCUUUAUGGGGGGAAAAAUCAUGGUAUGCUUGGACACUUUGACCUUUGAUGGAUUUACCAAGUACAGAAUUCAAAACUCUUGACUAUGUGUUUUUGAUGCUGUUAGAAAAUGCAUAUCAUCGUUGAUGCCUUGUUUUUAAGAAAAAAAAACACACUACCAUUUGAAUUGCUAGGAGAAUAAUUGUUCUUACAGGGGGUUACUAUGUCUGACAUUGGGCAACACCUUAGUCAAUCUGGUGGGCAACCUUUUACAAGUGAUAUCACAGAAACAUUCAACAAUGCUAAGUACCUAAGACAACAUUCCCUUUUCUUAUUAAUUGUGCUCAUCGCAUUGGCUAACAGGCACAGUUUGUUGUAUUGGUAGUAUAUUUAAAUUCAUUAUUUCAAAUGUGACCAAUCACAUGACUGGAUUAUUUCACAUCCUCAAAGAGUGGCUGCAUGUUAUAAAUCAUCAUUAUUUGACAAACUAGAUUCAAGAUGAAUAAUAGUGGUAAACGUGUUGAAGUCCUAAGUAUCAUAGAAUAAAGUGAGUGUUUGGAGAUUGCUCAUACUACAUGAUACCGGACCAUUAAGAUUAAAUGGAUUCUAUUAUUUCAUUCUUGACCAUCAAGUCCAAAUUAAAUAGAUUAUUCAGAAAUACAUGCAUGAUCAAUCACAAUAUGCACUUUCCAAGACCCAACCAAUUUUAUGUGCCUGUAUGGAGCCUAACACUUACUUCAUCAGAAAUCUCUAAGCGCUGGAUAGUAAUUAUAUAAUAUUGAACAUCUAAUAUGUUGCCUGCAAAAAUCUACAAUAGAAUCUUAUUGUCCCAAGAGUCAUAAGACGAGGGCAAUCAUUUCUGUUAUUGGCAGCAUUUCUUAUGUUCCAAAAAGCCAGAGUCAGUCAACAUUAUUAAAUGUAUACCAAUAGUUGUAUAAUAUGUUUGAUUUAAACAACUCACAUUCUCCAACAGACUAAGGGGAAGAACUUUCUUGUUUGCUCAUAUGUUAAUCUGCCCUAUGUGUACCAGCAUGUAAAAUGAAGAUUUAUUGGGUAGUAAAGGAGUUUGAAUUGUCCUUUUGUAAUCAGUUUUGUUUUAUAAUUGGAAGUACAAUAUACCAAUCAAAAUGGAUCCUGAAUUUUCAUGUAUGUAUUAAACUUCUAAACAGUUGCAACAUUGAAAAUUAAAACCAGUAGUAACGAUUAUAUAAGGAAUUUUUUUUCUUUGUGGAGCUAUUUAGUGAUUGUGCAUCUUUUACAAUUUUACCUUGCCCCACAUUUCAAAGUUAUCAUUGAAAGUUGGAUUUAAUUUACAGAGAAUCCAACAAUCAUACUUUCAAGGUAAGAGAGCAAGAAAUAAAAUUUGUGCAGAAUGCAGAUGUUUCAAAAAGGAGGUAAUGAAUUGGUCCAAUUUAAUAUGUUUUCCCCUUAAAUAUAUGUAUUUUUUUCUACUUGUAGAUUUAUAUAAAAUUGUAAAUUUUGUACACUUUGUACAUAAACGUGUGUGUAUAUAUCCAUAUAUAUAUAGUGUACAGACAGAUUUAAUUUUCCGUAUUCAUUUGUAAAUAAGAUUGUAAAGCUUUGCCCUUUUUGAGUGCGAUUGAUGAUACAUUUCAAUAAAUCAGUUUGUAAUUAUUGAUACAUAUUGUUGAAAUUAUUAUUUUUUAUUAAUAAUGAGAUAAACCAGAGA